CCCCCUUGUGUUACAUUAUUCAUAUUAUGAUCAUUCAUGUUGUGGUUAUUCACAUUAUGAUCAUUCACAUUAUGAUCAUUCACAUUAUGAUCAUUCACCUUAUG
rnacentral:antisense_RNA from 1 species